CGACAUUUGUUGUACCGGCAGAGAUUUUUCCGGCUAGGCUAAGGUCUACCUGUCAUGGAAUCUCAGCUGCUGCAGGAAAGGCAG
rnacentral:pre_miRNA from 1 species